GGCUUUGGAGGGCUCUGUCCCGCGGUCGGCUGGGGCCAUGGGGAGCUCUGCUUUCCGUGCCACGUGGAUCCGGGCGAGUCCUAGCCUUAAGCAUCCGCCCCCACGAGCCCUUCCUCUGGGGGGAGAAGCCAGAAGAGCUAUCUUACCUAGUUCUGUGCCAAGGUUCCUUCACAGCUAGCAACUCUACCUUCUGCUUGGCCCUCACCCCAGAUACCAUCCUGGAUCACCAGAGUUUACAACCUAAUGGUUGGGAAGCAAGAAUUUUCUUUCCUUCUUA